GCCGGAGUGAUGAAAUUGGUAUACAUGCGCGACUCAAAAUCGCGUGGCGAAAGCCAUGAGGGUUCAAUUCCCUCCUCCGGCA
rnacentral:tRNA from 1 species